rnacentral:rRNA from 1 species
UACAGAGGUCUCAAGCGUUGUUCGGAUUCAUUGGGCGUAAAGGGCGCGUAGGCGGCGGGGUAAGUCGGGUGUGAAAUCUCAGAGCUCAACUCUGAAACUGCACUCGAUACUGCUCUGCUUGAGGACUGGAGAGGAGACUGGAAUUCACGGUGUAGCAGUGAAAUGCGUAGAUAUCGUGAGGAAGACCAGUGGCGAAGGCGGGUCGUCUGGACAGUUCCUGACACUGAGGCACGAAGGC